UACGUAGGGGGCAGGCGUUGUCCGGAUUUAUUGGGCGUAAAGAGCGUGUAGGCGGCUGGGUAGGUCCGUUGUGAAAACUCGAGGCUCAACCUCGAGACGCCGAUGGAAACCCCCCAGCUAGAGUCCGGAAGAGGAGAGUGGAAUUCCUGGUGUAGCGGUGAAAUGCGCAGAUAUCAGGAAGAACACCCGUGGCUAAGGCGGCUCUCUAGUACGGUACUGACGCUGAGACGCGAAAGCGUGGGGAGCGAACAGG
rnacentral:rRNA from 1 species